rnacentral:rRNA from 1 species
GACGAACGCUGGCGGCGUGCUUAACACAUGCAAGUCGAACGAUGAAGCGGUGCUUGCACCGUGGUUUAGUGGCGAACGGGUGAGUAAUACGUGAGUGACCUACCUUUGACUCUGGGAUAAGCCUGGGAAACUGGGUCUAAUACCGGAUACGACCAAUAUCUGCAUGGGGUGUUGGUGGAAAGCGUAAGGGAGUGGUUUUAGAUGGGCUCACGGCCUAUCAGCUUGUUGGUGAGGUAAUGGCUUACCAAGGCGACGACGGGUAGCCGGCCUGAGAGGGUGACCGGCCACACUGGGACUGCGACACGGCCCAGACUCCUACGGGAGGCAGCAGUGGGGAAUAUUGCACAGUGGGCGCAAGCCUGAUGCAGCGACGCCGCGUGAGGGAUGACGGCCUUCGGGUUGUAAACCUCUGUUAGCAUCGAAGAAGCGAAAGUGACGGUAGGUGCAGAGAAAGCGCCGGCUAACUACGUG